rnacentral:tRNA from 1 species
GUUUUUGUAGCUUAAAAAGUUUAAAGCACAGUGUUGAAAACACUAAAAUGGGUUAACCCCGCCCCAAAAGCA